AUUCCAGCUCCAAUAGCGUAUAUUAAAGUUGUUGCAGUUAAAAAGCUCGUAGUUGGAUUUCCGGUAGGAGCGACCGUGCCGAACUUGAUUGUUCGUGUAUUGUGUUGUCUUCAGCCAUCCUCGUGGAGAACUUUUCUAACAUUAACUUGUUGGGAUUGGGACCCGCGUCGUUUACUGUGAAAAAAUUAGAGUGUUUAAAGCAGGCAUUAGCUUGAAUACAUUAGCAUGGAAUAAUAAGAUAGGACUUUGGUACUAUUUUGUUGGUUUGCAUACCAAAUUAAUGAUCAACAGGAACAGUUUGAGGAUAUUCGUAUGAACAUGUCAGAGGUGAAAUUCUUGGAUUUUGAUCAGACGAACUACUGCGAAAGCAUUUAUCAAGGAUGGUUUCAUUG
rnacentral:rRNA from 1 species